CGCGCAGGCGGGUUGACAAGUCAGAGGUGAAAUCCUACAGCUUAACUGUAGAACUGCCUUUGAGACUGUCAAUCUUGAGUACGGAAGAGAGAGAUGGAAUUCCAGGUGUAGUGGUGAAAUACGUAGAUAUCUGGAAGAACACCAGUGGCGAAGGCGGUUUCUUGGUCCAUUACUGACGCUAAGGCGCGAAAGCGUGGGGAGCAAACAGGAUUAGAUACCCUGGUAGUCC
rnacentral:rRNA from 1 species